GGUUGUAGCUCAGCGGUAGAGCACUCACCUAGCAUGUGCGAGGCCCUGGGUUCAAUCCUCAGCACCA
rnacentral:tRNA from 1 species